AUUGAACGCUGGCGGCAGGCCUAACACAUGCAAGUCGAACGGCAGCACAGAAGAGCUUGCUCUUUGGGUGGCGAGUGGCGGACGGGUGAGUAAUGUCUGGGAAACUGCCCGAUGGAGGGGGAUAACUACUGGAAACGGUAGCUAAUACCGCAUAACGUCGCAAGACCAAAGUGGGGGACCUUCGGGCCUCACACCAUCGGAUGUGCCCAGAUGGGAUUAGCUAGUAGGUGGGGUAAUGGCUCACCUAGGCGACGAUCCCUAGCUGGUCUGAGAAGAUGACCCGCCAGACUGGGACUGAGACACGGUCCAGACUCCAACGGGAGGCAGCAGUGGGGAAUAUUGGACACUGGGCGCAAGCCUGAUGCAGCCAUGCCGCGUGUAUGAAGAAGGCCUUCGGGUUGUAAAGUACUUUCAGCGGGGAGGAUGGCGGUGAGGUUAAUAACCUUGCCGAUUGACGUUACCCGCAGAAGAAGCACCGGCUAACUCCGUGCCAGCCGCCGCGGUAA
rnacentral:rRNA from 1 species